AUUGAACGCUGGCGGCAGGCCUAACACAUGCAAGUCGAGCGGAUGACGGGAGCUUGCUCCUCGAUUCAGCGGCGGACGGGUGAGUAAUACCUAGGAAUCUGCCUGAUAGUGGGGGACAACGUUUCGAAAGGAACGCUAAUACCGCAUACGUCCUACGGGAGAAAGCAGGGGACCUUCGGGCCUUGCGCUAUCAGAUGAACCUAGGUCGGAUUAGCUAGUUGGUGGGGUAAUGGCUCACCAAGGCGACGAUCCGUAACUGGUCUGAGAGGAUGAUCAGUCACACUGGAACUGAGACAAGGUCUAGACUCCUACGGGAGGCAGCAGUGGGGAAUAUUGGACAAUGGGCGAAAGCCUGAUCCAGCCAUGCCGCGUGUGUGAAGAAGGUCUUCGGAUUGUAAAGCACUUUAAGUUGGGAGGAAGGGCAGUAAGCUAAUACCUUGCUGUUUUGACGUUACCGACAGAAUAAGCACCGGCUAACUCUGUGCCAGCAGCCGCCGUAAUAC
rnacentral:rRNA from 1 species